rnacentral:lncRNA from 1 species
AUCUCGAUCACCACCGUUGCAACCUAUGCUCUGGUGCAACCUAGCUCUGAUACCAAUUGUUGUGCAGGAUCCGGUAACACACGAUAUAGCAGAAAAAAAGAAGAAAUAAAAUAAAAAAUAUAAUACAAAUAUAUGGAUCAGCCUUAAGCCUACCACCAUGGGGCAUGCAAGCUUCAUUAUGAGAGAAUAAAAUACAAUCUAUAUAAGAUGAACUCACCACUCAACCCU